CGAGUAAAUCGGAUAGUCGCGGGUCAAAAUUGACCUGAGGAAAGUCGGAGCUCCACAGGGCAGGGUGCUGGGUAACACCCAGUGAGGGCAACCUCAAGGAUAGUGCCACAGAAACAAACCGCCGAAAGUGGGAACCUGCAUUAUGAAGUUAGUUUAAUCAUGGCGAUUUCUAAAUACAGUUUCCCACUUUCGGUAAGGGUGGAACGGUGAGGUAAGAGCUCACCAGCGGUCAGGCGACUGGUCGGCUAGGUAAACCCCACCCGGAGCAAGACCAAAUAGGGGAGCAUUGGAGUUGCCCACUCCGCUCCCGGGUUGGGUCGCUAGAGGUGGCAGGCAACUGCCAUCCCAGAUAGAUGACUAUCUUUAACAGAACUCCGCUUACAGAUUUGCUCGCGUC
rnacentral:RNase_P_RNA from 1 species